GGAUAACCUACCCUUAGGACUGGGAUAACCCUGGGAAACUGGGGCUAAUACCGGAUAGGCAAUUUUUCCUGGAAUGGUUUUUUGUUUAAAUGUUUUUUCGCCUAAGGAUGGGUCUGCGGCCGAUUAGGUAGUUGGUUAGGUAAUGGCUUACCAAGCCGUUGAUCGGUACGGGUUGUGAGAGCAAGAGCCCGGAGAUGGAACCUGAGACAAGGUUCCAGGCCCUACGGGGUGCAGCAGGCGCGAAACCUCCGCAAUGUGAGAAAUCGCGACGGGGGGAUCCCAAGUGCCAUUCUUAACGGGAUGGCUUUUCAUUAGUGUAAAGAGCUUUUGGAAUAAGAGCUGGGCAAGACCGGUGCCAGCCGCCGCGGUAACACCGGCAGCUCUAGUGGUAACAAUUUUUAUUGGGCCUAAAGCGUCCGUAGCCGGUUUAAUAAGUCUCUGGUGAAAUCCUGCAGCUUAACUGUGGGAAUUGCUGGAGAUACUAUUAGACUUGAGACCGGGAGAGGUUAGAGGUACUCCCAGGGUAGAGGUGAAAUUCUGUAAUCCUGGGAGGACCGCCUGUUGCGAAGGCGUCUAGCUGGAACGGUUCUGACGGUGAGGGACGAAAGUUAGGGGCGCGAACCGGAUUAGAUACCCGGGUAGUCCUAACUGUAAACGAUGCGGACUUGGUGUUGGGGUGGCUUUGAGCUGCUUCAGUGCCGAAGGGAAGCUGUUAAGUCCGCCGCCUGGGAAGUACGGUCGCAAGACUGAAACU
rnacentral:rRNA from 1 species